rnacentral:rRNA from 1 species
GAUGAACGCUGGCGGCGUGCUUAACACAUGCAAGUCGAGCGAUGAAGUUUCCUUCGGGAAACGGAUUAGCGGCGGACGGGUGAGUAACACGUGGGUAACCUGCCUCAUAGAGUGGAAUAGCCUUUCGAAAGGAAGAUUAAUACCGCAUAAUGUUGAAAGAUGGCAUCAUCAUUCAACCAAAGGAGUAAUCCGCUAUGAGAUGGACCCGCGGCGCAUUAGCUAGUUGGUGGGGUAACGGCCUACCAAGGCGACGAUGCGUGGCCGACCUGAGAGGGGGAUCGGCCACAUUGGGACUGAGACACGGCCCAGACUCCUACGGGAGGCAGCAGUGGGGAAUAUUGCACAAUGGGGGAAACCCUGAUGCAGCAACGCCGCGUGAGUGAUGAAGGUUUUCGGAUCGCAAAGCUCUGUCUUUGGGGAAGAUAAUGACGGUACCCAAGGAGGAAGCCACGGCUAACUACGUGCCAGCAGCCGCGGUAAAAC